GCCAGGUGUGGUGGUGUACACCUGUAAUCCCAGUGACUUGGGAGGCUGAGGCAGGAGGAUUGCACAUUUGAGGCUAGCCUCUGCAACUU
rnacentral:sRNA from 1 species